GGUCUGCCGGCGGCAUCCAGGGACAGUCUGUCUAGGUGAGGCUGAGGCCGCCCCCACUCGCUCCCUCACCCCCAUGCUGACAGCAGUGAGCUGACCACAGACUGGGGGAGCCCCACAGGGAGACUGGCCUCCCCAGCACAUGCCCCGCAGUGCCAGACGCGGUCAUCACAGAGGCAGGUACACGACACCACGGACGUGCCACGUACCCGCCAUCGGGACCAAGGACCACUGAGAAACCAUGAAGGCCAUGCAGCGACUGUGGUGGCAGGACCGUCAGGAGGCCAUAGGUGCCACGGCUCCCCUCUGGUGGUUCACCUGCCCACCUGUAGCUGGGGUGGCCCCUCCAGUGCGCUCCCCAGAGCAGAACACCCCCCAGGCAACACGUCUGAUGAAGGCCAACAGCGUCAGUCCUCUGGUGUUUGGUGACAUCAAAGCUGUGCCGAAAGGCCUUCCCUCACUGCUAACACUUGAAGGGCUUCUGUCCGGUGUGGACCCUCUGAUGGCGAAUGUGGUCUGUCUUAUGCUUAAAGAUCCACCUCCAUUAACUGCACUCUUAGGGUUUCUUCCUCUGAAAAGGAAUGAACACGGGAACCCCCUCAAAGGCAUUUUUAAAUGAAGCGUGGAAGGCAUCAAAGAUGUGCUCUUCUUCAGGACUCAGGCUUCUCCAUCAUUCUCUGUUCCUUGGAAGCGUGAGGGCUAAGGAGCUGCUGACUUCUCUCUCUUGGCCCCACUUCAAGAAAGGCUUGCUUCCCACACACCUCUCCACGCUCCCAGUGCGGGACUGACACUCUGCACCGGGAGGCCAAGGGCCACCAUCGUCUUGCUGAGGUGGAUCACAGAAUGAGCGCUGAACUUUCUAGCAGCCAACAAGUUGAGAGAAGCAUGAUUCAACAAUUCGUAAUGUUCACACGAUUCAAGUCAAACAUGUUGGAAAGAAGUGUGACUAUUCCUGAAAUUGAGACCAGAGAGAAUUUCUCCCAAAUGAUCCUCACGAGAGGAGUGUGCAUAAUUAGGCAACAAUAUUUUGCAUUUGAAAAUGUCUUCACAUUAAAUAGAAGGAGUUGUUUUAUAGGCUAGUUUUUUAAGUUAUCCCUAAAUAUUGGCCAAAGGCAUUAUGCUAACAUGGAAGUGCCAGACCUUCGCUGCCCAUGUGCAGUAUGAUGAGGGAUGUAGCAGUGGGUCCCAGGGUGCUGGUGCACCAGAGGUUGGGGUGUGCAGUAGGGAAGAGAUUCAUCUGGUGUGGUUAUGUAGUGGUCAUGUGGUGCUUCCUAAAAGAGGGGCUUAAACUGCAUACCAAAACAAGAGUAGGCACACCCCCGCUAAACAGCCUAGUAUGCUAUUUUGUAACAAAUUUAAAUGAUACAAUAUUCAUUUUGCUUCAAUUUUCUUUUAUUAUUGCGGGUAAACAUUUUUUUCAAAAUAACAUUCUUCUCUUUGUCAAUUUAAAAAGUAAUACAUGGUUAUUUAGAACAUGUAAAAAUAUGAAAGUAUAAUAAAGAAAAUAAAAAUUACCCAGAAAUAAAAAUGGCUAGUAUAUUCAUAUCUUUUCUUCCAGUUUUUUUGUUUGUACAUUAUUUAUGUACAUAUAUAACAAUUGAUACCAUACAGUUUGUAAAAUGUUAAAUGUAACAUUGUGUCAUUUUUCCAAGUCAUUACUAGUCUUUGAAAACUUUAAAUAGCUGCAUGUUACAAACUUUAAUAAUCAUUUAGGUUGUUUCCAUCUUUUUCUAAAUAAAAGUGUGCUUCAGUAAAUUUUUUUUGCAU
ensembl:lncRNA LINC00639 long intergenic non-protein coding RNA 639